rnacentral:tRNA from 1 species
AAGGGAGACCUAAUUCGGGUAGAAGACGAAAAAAUAGUAGUCGAAACCAAGAAUCAAUCCCAAAAGGUCGGAACGAGGUAUGUGGCUUUCAAACUAGGUUCUGGGUUCACAAAAGACCUGAAUCAGGAACAAGGGCUAUUAGCUCAGGUGGUUAGAGCGCACCCCUGAUAAGGGUGAGGUCCCUGGUUCGAGUCCAGGAUGGCCCACCUGCACAGGUGGCAAAAACAAGAGAAACGAGGAAUCAGCACCCUAUCUUACUUACAUAGUAAGAGAGAAUGCUGGCUCUGAGUAAAGAGUCCAGAGGAACCUUGAAAACUGCAUAGAGCUAGGUGAAAAAGCCAAAAAAGAAGACCGCAA